AUCACCUACGGGGCGCAGCAGUAGGGAAUCUUCCACAAUGGACGAAAGUCUGAUGGAGCAACGCCGCGUGAGUGAAGAAGGGUUUCGGCUCGUAAAGCUCUGUUGGUAGUGAAGAAAGAUAGAGGUAGUAACUGGCCUUUAUUUGAUGGUAAUUACUUAGAAAGUCACGGCUAACUACGUGCCAGCAGCCGCGGUAAUACGUAGGCGGCAAGCGUUGUCCGGAUUUAUUGGGCGUAAAGCGAGUGCAGGCGGUUUAAAUAAUCUGAUGUGAAAGGCUU
rnacentral:rRNA from 1 species